rnacentral:rRNA from 1 species
AUGCGUGCCAGAGCUGCAAGCCAUGGUACACUAGAGCUACAACCGGAGACGCCCACCACCGGCAAGGCUGCAACUGGCACGAGGCAGUGCUACAACCGGUGUCCAGCGAGCUGCAAGCGACACAACGGCAAGCUUCAAACCUGGUGGGUCAUCAUGCUGGUGAUGGCGACCAUGCCUGCGAGGGGAGCUGCAACCAUGUGGUGGCGAGCUGCGGUGACGGACGUGGGGGGCGGUAACCACGCCGGCGGUGGGCAGCACCGGCGAGGGACGGUGUUGCAGUCGACGCCGAGGAGCUACCAUGGAUGCAACACGGAGGCAAGAGAAAAGGCCGCUAUGGUCAACGACCUUUUUGUUGAGAGCGACGACGGCGAGCAUCGGCGGUGA